UGGAAUGUCCUUUGUGGUGGACAGUUUUCUUUUCUUUUCUUUUUUUUGUAUAAAGUUGUGAAACUCUUGUCCACAAAUGUGGACAGAAAACCCACUGCUGCAAAAAUUCUCUUGCUGCAUGAACAGAUAUUUCCCUUUUUUCAGUCCCUUUUUCCUCAGAUUUAGUGUUUUUAUCUUGUUUUUAGACACCUCUUUUUUUGCAGUGCAGAGGUCAGUGUUUG